rnacentral:rRNA from 1 species
GAUGAACGCUGGCGGCGUGCUUAACACAUGCAAGUCGAGCGAAGCGCUUAAGUUUGAUUCUUCGGAUGAAGACUUUUGUGACUGAGCGGCGGACGGGUGAGUAACGCGUGGGUAACCUGCCUCAUACAGGGGGAUAACAGUUAGAAAUGACUGCUAAUACCGCAUAAGACCACGGUACCGCAUGGUACAGUGGUAAAAACUCCGGUGGUAUGAGAUGGACCCGCGUCUGAUUAGGUAGUUGGUGGGGUAACGGCCUACCAAGCCGACGAUCAGUAGCCGACCUGAGAGGGUGAUCGGCCACAUUGGGACUGAGACACGGCCCAGACUCCUACGGGAGGCAGCAGUGGGGAAUAUUGCACAAUGGAGGAAACUCUGAUGCAGCGACGCCGCGUGAAGGAUGAAGUAUUUCGGUAUGUAAACUUCUAUCAGCAGGGAAGAAAAUGA